UUUUUUGGACCCUACAUGGCCACCAUAUUUCUCACAUCAUCAGCAGAUGGCUUCAAGAGCUGAAUCUGCUCGCAAUGUUUCUGUUCUGUAAGUUCAAGGAUAUCUCACCUUGCAUUCGUUGAACAUUUUGUUUCUGCUAUUCUUUAGGAAAAAAAAAACGGGUUCGCCAUUUCACCCAAUUUGGGGUACAUUUGGCCCGGUGCUUUGAAGCGCUUCACCUUGGCCCAAAAAUAAUCGUGUCCAUAGUUUCCCACUACGCAGAACCCGGAACCAUGAAAUUAAUUUACAGUAUCAUCUUGACAAUGACUACUACUGAGAAACUGACUGUUUUUUUUUGUUUUUUUUUACUUCCAAUUCUUCACACUCUACCCCCAAAUGUGCCCGCCGAGCAAAUCUGUUCUGCCGACUACGCUCUCCACUUGGGUGCGCUCCAGUGUGUCAUCACCUUCAUGGUCAAGCCGGCCCAAUCAACAUCUUCCAUGACCAACAGGCCGAGUGUCGGCUGGGAAGGACGACCGACCUCUGCGGCGGCCGGGGAGGAAAAUCGAUCAGGGGAAAGUGGACAGAAGGCUAUAUUUGUGACGCCGCCAAGCUGCAGAUGUUGCUUUCUGGAGGUUACGGCUGCAGAUUGAUGAGCCCCCGUCGCUGGCCCCCGGCACAUAUUUCACACGGAUGAAUCCGCUAAACGGGGACUGGCGUUUUUACGGUUGCCUUUUUUCGGUCCACAGGUUAGGUGGCAGGAUUAAGGGGGAGAGGCGGAUGUGGAAGUGUGGGCGAGAAAACGGGGGAAUGCCACGCGUCUGCUUUCGGGGAGCGGAAGGUCCGAUUGAUAUGCUUUACGUGAGGACCGAAGGACAAAGCGCUGAAAGGAGACUUUGGACUUCCUUCUGGGAUCAGUGGACAUUUCAUUACUCUCCAUUGUCCAAGGCGGACACGCUUAAGCCUUGGACGGGUGUUUCCGUUCCAUUUGGCGCGAUGAAUAACGAUGACGGGAGGGCCGGCCGACUUGAAAAGACGUAAGCGUGUCCAAGCUCAUGUUGGGUCAUUGAUUACCAAUGACAAACUGCUAUCGCAGAGUGGGCCAAAAUCAAUCGCUCGUUUAGCUUUCCGAGCGAAGGGCAUUGGCCAAUAGGGAAGGCGAAACAAGCCCUUGUCGCACCCCCAACCCCCCUCCCAACUGUAAACAACAACGACACCAUUCAUGUGAUGGACGAUUAACCUGCCGGCGCUUUACCUCGCACGUGACGCUUUUGUUUUCACACUUGCACCUCCGCAGGACUAAAUGUUUCAAUUCAUCUUUAUAUCCGUCGCGUUAUGUAUUUGGCGUCUUUUUUUUUUUUUUAUGACCGUCAUUUGAGGCAUCGUGCGCUUUACGUAAUGCUCCCAGUACAUCGUCACGCCUGUCCGGCUAAUAGCGACGCAGAUACAUUCUCAUAACCACCAGGCAGGAUGCCCGACCAUAAAGCUGAUUGAUUCUUGAUUCGUGUCGCAGUGCUCUCGUUUGACCACCAGAUGGUAAUAAAGUGCAUUCUUGGGCCUCGGGACUCGCGUGCUUGGAUGUUUGCUGCAGGGCGCUUGGAAUGGGACAAUUUAUUGCUCCCGGGACGGGAUCGCGGAUUUAAUCGAAUAAAACGGGAAUGAAGUUUAUUGUCACCGUCAUCGGAAAAAAAAUGGAAAUCUGUAUUGUAAGCAAAUGUAGAAAUGCGCAUUUCAAGGUCCACGUUGCUCUCACCCGGACAAGGAAGGCAA